GCCCAGCCGUGGCAGGUGGCAGAGACAACAGCGGCGGCAGCUGCCGGGAGAACCGGAAGUUCGUACAUCUCAGCAGCCUCUGCUGCUACGGACGCUUUCGGUUGCCAACAUGUAGGGGCGGGGCGCGCUCAGUGGCGUCAGCAGCCCAGGGCUUAUGCGCAUGCGUGCUGGAGGAAUGCGUGAGGACGUGAGCUCUGUGGAGGCUGGUGAGGAGUUGUCUAUGAAGGGUAACAGGAAUGUCUUUCUCAAGGACAUGGAAACCAUCUGUUUGAAAUGUGAUCACCAAGGAAUAUACUACUCCUAUUACCCAGUUUCUGUGGGAAGUUCUCCAGGCUGAAUCUUCCUAGAGCAAGUGCCAAGACAGCCUUUGUCAGAGAAAUCACAGAUUGUCUCAGCCUCCUGUUCACUCUAGGUCCUUCCAGCCACGGAACCAUCCCAGAAUCACCUUGUCUUCAUCUUUUGUCUCAUUUCCAUUUAAUCUUCAAGAUUCAACCUGGAAAUCUGGAGAAAUAUUUAGGAGGUUGCUGAAGACUCAGGUAUUUUGUUAAUGAAAAAGAACUCCAUUAUGGACAUAAGGACAUAAAGAUCUCA